AAAAGGUGGAAAGCAAAAGGAAAAAAGCUCUCUGUUCUUUAAUCGGGCAACGCGAAGAAACCCAUUUGUGUUUUGCCUUUGGCUUCACGGUUUUCACACUCUCUUCUCGAACUCUCUUCCACAAGGAAGGAAACAAAUCCUCCCUUUACAUUCAGGAAGGGAGUAACAGAAGAGGGUUGUUAUUGAACACAAUCAUGGCUGCAAGUACUAAAGA
rnacentral:misc_RNA from 1 species